AACUUCCUCCCCUAGGGUUGUUUAAUAUUUUGAAUAAAUACUUUGAAUUUGUGUACCUUUCAUGUAACUUCUGUAUCUGUUUAUAUGAGUUUCAAAUGAAAAAUUUAUCCAUGAUCAGUUUCAUCAUGAGAAUUGGUCAAGUUGAUUCUCAAAAAGUGAAGGGACAACAAUUUUGGACAGGAGGGAGUAUCACUUUUCUCCCUCGGAGCGAUCGCUCAAUUUAAAAGAAAAGAUACAUUCCAGACCCCGGCGCUUUAUUUAGUGAUUUUCGAAUUAAAGUGUUUAGAUGCCACUGAUGUAUGGAUAAUUGGAUAUUACUUUGAGAAGCAGGUUUUGCACAGUUUUCUAUCUCAGAAAAAAAUUUGAAUCGUUUUACCUGUCAUUUUCUAAAUAAAUAACAGUUUCUGUAACUAUAUAUAGGGGUGGUUUUACUUUCAUACUGGGGAUCGAUGGUUUGUGAACUUUUGGAAGGGAAAGGCUAAUGGAGAAGGACGUUUCUAUUCAAAGCUUGGUGAUGUUUUCUUUGGCCACUUUAAAGAUGGAUGGCGCCAUGGCCGUUUUCUUUGUAUCAACAUUGACGGGACGAGGAGUACUGAAGUAUGGGAUGAAGGCCUUCUACAAAGCCGAAAGAAUUUGGAUUCUGACACCGGAACAGGAUAGAGUCUGUCUGGUAUAAUUUUAAAAAUAUGCUAUCCUUCAGCUAUCUGGUGUGUCCGCAAGAAACAAAUGCAGAAGAAUAUCAACCGAGGGCUGAUGUCUGUAAGAAGAGUUUUCUUAAACCAGCUCUACUGCUCAUAGCGCCUAUGCUUUAGUAGUAGCAGCACUCAAGUUUAAUAACACUACUGUUGUAUGACACCCUUUAAGCAUUUGUUUGUUCUUUAUCUGUACUAAUGGAAUCGAAAUUGAAUCUCCAAUUGUACACAUAUCUUGUAUAUUCUGUAAAUAUAGUAAUUUAAGUUUUUUUCUUUUCUUUUGAUGGACAUUGCCUCUUGUCGCUUUACUUGCAGAGCCUUGUAUAUUUUGGACUUAAAUGUU